rnacentral:piRNA from 1 species
UAUAAUUAAGUGUUCCNCCCUAGAGCCC